rnacentral:misc_RNA from 1 species
AACUUUUAACAACGGAUCACGUGGCUCUCGCAUCGAUGAAGAACGCAGCGAAUCGCGAUAUGUAAUGUGAAUUGCAGAUCUACAGUGAAUCAUCGAAUCUUUGAACGCACCUUGCGCUCCUCGGUGUUCCGAGGAGCAUGCCUGUUUGAGCGUCAGUUAAUUCUCAACCCCUCUCGAUUAGCUUCGAGCGGGGCCUGGAUAGUGGGAGCUGCCGGAGACCUGAAAUCAUUUUUUCUCAGGACUCGGGCUCCCCUGACAUGCAUCGGCUUGCGGUCGACUGUCGACUUUGCGCGACAAGGCUUUCGGCGUGAUAAUGAUCGCCGUUCGCCGAAGCGCACGAAUGACCCGUCCCGCGCCUCUAAUCAGUCGACGCCUUUCGGGGCGUCUUCCUUAUAGACGUUUGACCUCAAAUCAGGUAGGACUACCCGCUGAACUUAAGCAUAUCAAUAAGCGGAGGCU